rnacentral:rRNA from 1 species
AUAACCUACCCUUAGGACUGGGAUAACCCUGGGAAACUGGGGCUAAUACCGGAUAGGCAAUUAUUCCUGCAAUGGUUUUUUGUUUAAAUGUUUUUUCGCCUAAGGAUGGGUCUGCGGCCGAUUAGGUAGCUGGUUAGGUAAUGGCUUACCAAGCCGUUGAUCGGUACGGGUUGUGAGAGCAAGAGCCCGGAGAUGGAACCUGAGACAAGGUUCCAGGCCCUACGGGGUGCAGCAGGCGCGAAACCUCCGCAAUGUGAGAAAUCGCGACGGGGGGAUCCCAAGUGCCAUUCUUAACGGGAUGGCUUUUCAUUAGUGUAAAAAGCUUUUGGAAUAAGAGCUGGGCAAGACCGGUGCCAGCCGCCGCGGUAACACCGGCAGCUCUAGUGGUAGCAAUUUUUAUUGGGCCUAAAGCGUCCGUAGCCGGUUUAAUAAGUCUCUGGUGAAAUCCUGUAGCUUAACUGUGGGAAUUGCUGGAGAUACUAUUAGACUUGAGACCGGGAGAGGUUAGAGGUACUCCCAGGGUAGAGGUGAAAUUCUGUAAUCCUGGGAGGACCGCCUGUUGCGAAGGCGUCUAACUGGAACGGUUCUGACGGUGAGGGACGAAAGUUAGGGGCGCGAACCGGAUUAGAUACCCGGGUAGUCCUAACUGUAAACGAUGCGGACUUGGUGUUGGGGUGGCUUUGAGCUGCUCCAGUGCCGAAGGGAAGCUGUUAAGUCCGCCGCCUGGGAAGUACGGUCGCAAGACUGAAACUUAA